AGUGGUGUGAGGUUGAUGGCAGGAGAAAGAGCUGGGAAGGAAGAGGCCAGCGGGCAGGUCUUCCCUCCUGGCCUCUGCAGCCCCAAGGUGGGACACUUGCAUGGAUCUCAACCAUCAGUCUUUUCUUUUGCAGGUCCUUACUCUCUGACCUAUGUCUACACGGGGCUGUCCAAGACUGUUGGAGACAUCCCCAAGUUUCAGGCCUUUGGCCUCCUCAAUGACCUUUCCUUCUUCGAGUACGACAGUAAAGACAGGAGGUCUCGGCCCCUAGGACUCUGGAAACAGGUGGAAGGAAUGGAGGAUUGGGAGCAGGACAGCCGACUUCAGAAGGCCAGGGAAGACAUCUUUAUGGAGACCCUGAAUGACAUCAUGGAGUAUUACAACGACAGUAACGGUCAGUGAACAACAGACUGAGGGGGUGGAAGG